CGCUCUGAACUGCACUUGGAGAAGGACGCAUUCCAAUCCCGCAUAUAUGAAAAGUUUAAUAUUUUAGACAGCUAGAUGAAAUGCUGGGGUCUUGGUGCAUUUUGCUUUGGCGGUCCAGGCUUUGAACAUCUUAGGGAAAUGUUUGGAAAUGAAUUUUAUUUUCACAACUGUGAUACAAUUACAAGGCGGGGAUGUUUCAGCCUUCUCAACGAGGUGCCCUUGGUGGUGGUGGUCUGUAAAUGGCUACAGAACUGACAGAGAGCUCUGCAAGCAUUUUCUUCGGUUCUGAUUUUUAGUUUUAUUUGUUUUAACAGAGGGAUAAAACCCAGCAUUGUGCAUGUCCUUGCUCUGUGGGUUGGGGAUGUAUCGUUGUUGUUGUCGUUGUUUUCCUGGGAAGUAAAACAGGGUAGGAUAUUGGUAAUAAGGGCAAGUGGAUUUAUUGCAGAGCGAGUUGUAUGCUGUUUGACAGAAAAAGCUUAGCUUUGACUUCCCAGGGGGGAAUGGAGGACUUUGGUGCAUGCCGCAAAAGGGGUGUUCCCUCUUAGUCCUGCGAGCGCAGCGAGUGUCCUGUCUUCCUACUAUUUUCCUUAGUGCAGAUCAGAGCCACACGGUAGUUCUGUGGCCAAGGCCUCCCUGUAGCCAGGGCUUGGGCCUGUCCUUGCGUGGCCGCCUGUCCUGCUGGCGGCGGUGACAGCCCCUUACUCGGGGUGUGUGUCCCAAGCUUCGGAGCCCUCUGUCCCUGAGCAGCCCGCCCGCCCUGUAAUCAGGUGUGGGGAGGCUGCAGCGUUGCAGCCGGCUGCUUUAGCCAUCCAGCUGGUGGGAGUGACCCCUCCCUGUCCCGUCAGAGGGUGCAGGUUGAGGUGCUGUUUGUGUGUGGGGUGACCUCCCCGCUCGGUGGGUCGAGGUAGCUCCCUGGGCUUCCAAAGACGAGACGUUGGUGAUGUUCUGGUGCUGCCGGGCGGGCCAGCCUGUAACUCAGGCGUUGGCGGGAGCCUCGUGCUCCGCGGGGCUUCUUGAAGAGGGUGAGGUGUGGGGGUACCGUCCUGUAGGCAGGGCUGUGUGUGCCCCCCGUGUGUGCUUGGUGAGCUGCGUUCUGAGAGACCCCCUGUACUCAGGUGGGAAUGUGGCCC
rnacentral:lncRNA from 1 species